AACAGGGAAGUAAUUGUCCCCCUGUACUCAGCACUGGUGAGGCCACACCUCGGGUACUGUGUCCAGUUUUGGGCCCCUCACUGCAAGAAAGACAUUGAGGCCCUGGAGCGUGUCCAGAGGAGGGCAGCAAAGCUGGUGAGGGGUCUGGUGCAAAGGCCUUAUGAGGAGCGGCUGAAGGAGUUGGGAUUGUUCAGUCUGGAGAAGAAGAGGCUCAGGGGAGACCUUAUUGCUCUCUAUAACUACCUGAAGGGAGGUUGUAGUGAGCUAGGGGUCGGCCUCUUCUCCCCUGUAACUAGUGAUAGGAUUAGAGGGAAUGGCUUCAAGCUGCGCCAGGGGAGAUUCAGGCUGGACACUAGGGAAAUACUAUUUCUCUGAAAGAGUGGUCAGGCACUGGAAUGGGCUGCCCAGAGAGGGGGUGGAGUCACUGACCCUGGAGGUGUUCAAGGAACGUUUGGACAUUGUGUUGAGGGACAUGGUUUAUUGAGAACUAUUGGUGAUGGGUGGAUGGUUGGGCUGCGUGAUCUUGUGGGUCUUUCCCAACCUUGGUGAUUCUGUGAUUUUCCAUGUGGGGAGUAGAUGUCUUUCUGAAUGGACUCAUCACCUGCCGAUUCUGUAUCUGUCAGCAGACAACCUCCUGUAAGCUACAGAUUCACGUUCUGUCAGUACAGUCACUGGACAUUAAGGCUGCUUGAGCAGUUUGAAAGAAAAAAACAUGAGGCAACAGCUGUUCUUUGUAAAGUUGAGUAAAACACAGACAACCUUGAAGCAGAAGCCUCUUUUGAUCUCAAGUUGUUUUCCUGCUUCAGCAUCCACCCAGUUUAUCUCAAGCAGAGGUGUAUGCUACUUGCAACUAUUUGAGACAAGCAGGUACUGUACAUAGAUGCUUAGAGGAUGUACACAAAGGAGAACGUGCCCUAUCUGCCAUAAUGGACUUCAACUGAUGAAAAUUGGCAGAAAGGUUCAACUUGUGCAAUAGAAGAAAAGCCAUUUCUGGACCCUCGAGCAAGAAUGUGACUUUCUUCGAUAUUAUAUUCACAUAUUGUUACCAAAAUAUUAUCUGAAAGGAAAUGCUGAAAGAAUAUGGGGGAGAAUGACACAAGAUGAAGCUCUCGGAUGAAAAUCUCAGGUCAGUGAAGAAACAGUCAAACCCAAUGAAUUCUCAUUCAAAUUAACUUCGUACUUUUAGUCUAUGAAUCGGGGAGGGGGGAGGGGGAGAGGUGCGGUCAGUGGUUUUAGCUAGUUCACAAAAAAAUUGAAACAAGGGAACUGUUUUAACAGACCAUCUUGCAUGUACAAAGGGGAGUUACCUUCUCUGUUGGCCAAUCCUCGGAGGACUGCUUCAAGUAGCCGACUCCUUGACAAAAAAAGGAUUUAGUGAACAACUCAUGAUCAUGAUUCAUGUAAUUUUGCACAUUUUAUUCUAAUACUCUUUUUGUAAUGUUGUUUCAAAAAGCAAAAUAAAAGUUUUCUUUUAAUUAUGACUUCUAAGAGUUUUUUUUUUCUAUUGACAAAACAUAGAUAAAAUACCAUUUCCCAUUCUGUCAAUAACUUUUCACUUAACUGCCCUUGUUUCAUAUUACACUUUCCAACUUUUCUAAGCUAUUCUGGCAGUAAAAGUAUCUGUGUUUAAACCAAAAUAAACAUCAAAUAGUACAAAAAAUAACAUUCUCUGGCUAAACCAUAGUGAAUCUACUGAGAGGGGCAUAUACAUUGUGGAGGCAAAUUGUUAUAUAUGCAAUAUGUAUGUAAUUACCUAUAUAAGGAGAAACAGAAAUUUUGCAUGUUGAACUGUUGAAGAAAUUUUGCAUGUUGAACUGUUGAGCUUGAAGGAAGUGUUAAGCAGGGAAGAAGAUUCAGUAAGAUCUUUUUGUAUUACAGUUAAACUCUUUCCUAAUGUUAAUAUCCGUAGCCUAGUGAUGAGGCUUCAUAUGCAAAAAGGUUGCAUGAUAGAAGUUAAUUUGGAAGACGUUUACUAGAAUCUGAACAACCAUCAUUUUGCAGUUUGAUUUAGUUAUUCUCAUAUGAGUUGUAUGUUUUCACAGAGCAAACAUAAUAUUUUUGUGGGGUUUUCAUUUUUAUUCUAUUUUUUCCCCUCAUGUUAGAGAACCUAGGAAAUCUCCUUUUCACGGCAGUAUCAAAAUGUAAUCAAACAAUGUUUAUAAUUAAGGAAAAUAAGUUUUGAAUAAAGCUUAUGUUUGAUAAAUAAAAGCUUAAAUGAGAUUUUUGUUUAAGCUAGUUGCUUUUUUUUUCUGUCCUUCCCACAUGUAGGAGCUCAC
ensembl:lncRNA